GUGCCCGCUUCCGCAGCAUAUAUCCUAAAAUUGGAACAAUACAGAGAUUAGCCAUGACCCUUUAAAGGAUGACUUGCAAAGCAUGAAAUGUUCCGUAUUUUU